AUCAGUAUGUGGUGAUGUUAUGUGUUACUGUCAGUGCGUGUUAGUGUCAAUUAUAUGACAGUGUCAGUGUAUGUUAGUGCCUGUGUGUAAGUGUCAGUGUUUUGUUUAAUGUCAGUGCCUGUUCGUACCAAUGUUAGCGUGUGUUAGUAUCAGUGGAGUGUUAGUGACAGAGCCUGUUACUGUCAGUGAAUGUUGGUAUGUGUUAGUGUCAGUGUGUGUGUUAAUGUCAUUGUGUGGUGAUGGCGUGUGGUACUGUCAGUGUGUGUUAGUGUCAGUGCGUGACAGUGUUAGAAUAUGUUAGUGUCAGUGUGUGUGUUAGUGUCAGUGCCUGUUCGUGUCAGUGAAUGUUAGUGUUUGUUAAUGUCAGUUCGUGUUAGCGUGUAUUCGUGUCAGUAUGUGUUAAUGUAUGCCCGUGUGUAUUAGUGUCAGUGUGUCUGUGUGCAUUAAUGUCUAUAUCUGUGUGUGUAGUGUCAGUGUGUGUUAGUGAGUGUCUCUGUGUCAGGGUUUAUCUCUCUGCGUGUCAGUGUGUUGGUGUGUCUGAGUGCGUGUGUUACUGUCAGUGUCUGUUAGUGUUCACGCAUUGUUUGAAACUGAGAGCUCUGCAAUACAAAGAUCUAGUCACUUAGCUACUCAGGACUAGUGCAUAGUGAUCGGAAAGGGGGCGGAGGGGUGGGAGUUGGCUGUUGGGGGCAUUCGCAAGUAUUGCAGCCGCGCUCAGGGCUCCCAGUUGUCCCAGCUCCAAAGCCUGAGGUCAGGGCAGAGAGAGAGAGAGAGGCAGGAGGAGGCUCAAGCAUCCCGAGCAAACACGCAGAUAUUCUGAGGCAUCUGUCUGGAUUCUGUUCACCCCAAAGUUCAGGACGGAGUUAAAGCUCUCUUUCUUUAAUUCCUGGAGACAGCGUCCUUCUCAUUCAUCUCCGCUGGGCAAGUGUAGCGUCGACCCUGUCCGGGAGAGGGAUGGGUAUUGAAAUUAUAGUUACCGUCCACUACAUUUUUGUAGGUGUUUAAAACUUGACAGGCGAGAUCAGGCGGAGCAGUGUAACCCCACGCCUGACAUUGAAACCGAUCUCUGUCCCUUCGCGAUCUCGGAAACGUAACCCCCGAAAGCCCGAGGAACCUGGGAUGGCGAGGAAAGGGGAAUAAAUAUUUACAACUCACCCCGAUAGAAGAUAACGUGGGAGCGGGUGCGGAGUUGGGCGAGAGCCAAGCUUGGAGUCAAACGGGUUUCCCUCCAAUAGAAGUUACAUUUAAAUGUCCUCAGUAAACAAGCAAGCAACUAUCCAGAAAGAUUUAUUCACAUCGUUCAUUCUCAGUGAGAUGGAAACUUGCAUCAGACAAUUGAAGAAGCAGCGGGGUCAAUUAAUUCAUUUCUGACAUUAUCCCGGGGAACCACCAGGACUGAUCCUCGACGAGUUUGUUUGUCACCGACUCUUGCUAUUCUUCAGUUUUCUCAACAACUGGACCCGCUCUUGCUGUCCCGGGAUUCGCAGGAACGUGGCUCGGAAAGUUUGAGUGUACCAGUGACUGGACAGCAAGAUGCUGCAAAUGCUCAUCCCACACAUUCUCCCAGGCCGAUGUUAUCGCCGCAUCCCCGUCCGCUUCGCUCGUUCUUUUUGUUAAAUAAACGCAGACCAACUUAAGCGACA